rnacentral:tRNA from 1 species
GCCUCCCUAGCUCAGUCGGUAGAGCGCGAGACUCUUAAUCUCGUGGUCGUGGGUUCGAGCCCCACGGGAGGUG